rfam:Ferrimonas balearica DSM 9799, complete genome.
CGUGUGGUGUCCGGCAUAGAAUCGGAUAGCGACACGGCCUAAUUUGAGGU